UUCAACAUGGCGAUAAAAAAUUAGAAGAGUUCAUCAAUGUAAAAUUUUCCAUUAAAACUCGAAUCUCUAAGGACAACGCCAUUGUUACAUCGUCCAAUGAAUUCGAUUAAAUUUUCAUCCGUUCGAAUAAUAUUGAUUGUAACAAAUUAACGAUGAACUAUUACCAUCAGCUUAUUCGUAAUAUACAUGUAUCUUUAGUAAUUAGAGACAUUAGACGGUGAUUUAAUAGCGACUAGAAAGAGAUAUCGUUUAAUACGAUACUCGCCUAUGGAUUAAUUAUUCGAUUUCACCGAUAGAUUUAAUGUUGAAAGAGAGUUCGAAUUCGAAUUGACUGCUUUUUUUUUUUUUUUUUUUCAAGAUGAAGAAAAUCAUUAAUUGGUUUCGUUCUCGUUCGAUAAUCACGAUUUAUAUUCGGUCCUCUGGACACGACUUCCGGCCGGAAGUUCAUAAGACACUGCGGUACCACUAGCAGCACCGUAUUGAAGUAUGCUGCUCUAGCUUUGGAAACCUGCAUGCAAAGCAUAUCGAUCGUACCUGACUAUUCGCCAUAUUCACUCGGCUCGAUUUAUGCGAUAACCUCUUUUCUUUUUUCUUUUUCUUUUUCUUUUUCUUUUUUCCCCUUCCUCCGCUUGUUUUUUUAAUUAUCGAUCGAACCAUAAUCUUUCUCGGUGUACUUGUAUACUUCCGGUUCUUUCUCUCUCUUUUUUCUUUUAUUUUUUCUUUAUCUUUUUCUUUUUUUUCCUCCUUCUUAGAAAGAAAUAUGGCAGCAAGUUCGUCAUCGCAGUUUUGUUAGAAAGAAAAGAAACAUGGCGACAAGUUCGUCAUGUAUUGUAUUUUGUAUCAUGUAUCGUCAUUAUUUGAUCGAUCCAGGUUCUGUAAUUUCGUUCGGCUUACUUUUUCAUCCUUCGGUUUUCUUGUUCUUUUUUUUUUUUCUUCUUAUCUUAAGAAGGAAACAAAUAUGACGACGGUAAGUUUGACGUCAUAUAUAUUUUUUUUUCCUUUUUUUUUUUUUUAACCAUCUAUCAAUUUAAUAUCAUUCGUCAUUAUUCUUUUCAUUUAUUCCGAUGACGAAAUCUUAAUGAUAAUUUCUGUGGGAGAAAAACUAUAAACAAGGACGUAGCCUAUCCUGUAACAAAGGACGCCUAUUGUUCGUAGUCUCUCUGGUAGAAACGCUCCGUAUACACGUUAUACAUGAUAUAAUUCCGUAUUAUACCACAAUGUAAGUACACGUACAUAUGUAUACAUACUCUCGAUGUCAGUCGUGUGUCGCGUACUUUCCUGAGAACGCACAACGCACGUAUCCGUCCGCCGCGUCCGUAUUAAGAAAUAGAGAAAGA